GGGGGGGCUCAAGUCAUGCUUCAGUGAUUCCCUAUAUAAUCAACCAAAUUUUUCCAAGGCCCCCCUGGAUACGCCUAUGCUGGCAUAGCUUACCAUAUGAAGAAAGCAACAGGAACUUUUAAUCACAUCUGCUCGUUUUAUAGUAAAACAUUAAAAAUGCUUCGCUGACCGCAGAGAUCGAACCCUGAACAGUUGGGGCAAAUUUGGACAUAAUAUUAAAGCUUGAUACUAUCUGAAUUUGGAUUGUGAUCAAAUUUAUGACGUUAUAUAGGUUUCUGACACAAGGUAA
rnacentral:lncRNA from 1 species